rnacentral:lncRNA from 1 species
CGUUAGUGAGACACUUUGUAUAGCUGUAUCUUAAAAGUUGAAACACAACUCAAACUUCAUCUGUGAAUGCUUUGUCACAUCUGAAAUCCAUAUCAGUAUUCUCUGUUUUAUUUUAGUACUUAUUCUGGUAUCACAAUGACCGUAUAUUUUGCAAGGCCAGAUAGCUGGUCUUUGUGUUAAUUUUAAUGAAGUGAUCUAUAAGGUCUAACAGGUUGUAGUUAUUACUGGACUUAUAAAACAUUUUGCAGUGUUUAUACUCACUGAAUACAGAUAAUGGAUACUGAAGUAAUGCCCAAGCUAUUAAGUAUAUCAAUAAAAUGCAGCAUCAAAAAGUAAAUGAAAAAUGACCUUUGUUUUAUAAGUACUGCUUUUUUGCAGUUUAAAAUAAAAUAGACUAACCUAUGAAAGAAGUCUAUCAAGAGCUAUUAAAGGCAAAGCUGAAGACAAAGUUUUCAUGUAAGAAGAUAUUGAAUUCCAAAUAGCUGGAAGCUGAGAGAGUACACAGGAAAGACUUGCAUCAUAAAUUUCUCUGUUCUGGUACUUUUUUCCCUAAGCAUUCACAACUGACUAUUUUCAGAAACAAGAUACUAGGCUGAAUGAAUCAUGUAGAGCUGUUCCAUUAUAUUCUUUGGCAGAAUAAAUCAGUCUUAAAGAGAUAAUUUUAACCUUUUUUAUAAUCCAGUCUUCCCUGACAUCAUUUGUUACACAAUUUGUUACAGCAGAUGAAAGCAACUGCUUGGUUUGAACCUACAGAAGAAUGUAAAUAAAUGAGUUUUGUAAUUAAUUCACCCAGAGAUAUAGCCAGUAUAUUGGACUGAAAAUGUGUUUUGUGAAACAUGCAGAUACCACAAAUAACACAGAUCCACACACACAAAAACUUUUGUUUUCCUAUUAUUAUCCGCUUUUUUAGUAUGAAUGCCAGGUUGUAGAGUAGUUUUUGUUGUCAGUUUGUGAUGUCAUACAUCACAUAUGAGGACACCGUAGAACAGAGACCCUACCUACUUGUAUUGCAUAGUGGUGGACGCUCACCAGUAUCCCUCAAAGAACGAGCACUUGAAGAUGCAUAGAGGAAAUACUGGAGACUAGCAGAAGUCACAGAGCUGUUGCAAAUGGCUGCUGAACUUGAAAUGCAAAUACUGUUUAAAAAUAAAAUAAAAAUAAAUAAAUAAAAGCA